CUCGGGCUCGGGCUCUGCCGCCGCCGCCGCCGCCGCCCCCCGCACCUGGGCCCGCCCGCCCGGGGCAGGCCCGGCCCCGCGGGGAGCCCUCGGUGGUCGGGCCUCUGGUGCCCCGAGCCCGCUUCCGAAGCGAGCUCCGCACCCCUCGGCUCCGUUCACACCGCAAAGCGGGCUGCCAGGGCGGGAGCCGGGCUCCUGCUGGGUGAGGCUGAAGUGGGAGAGGCCCGCUGGGACAUCGGCACCCCCGGGGCUCCGCUCCCGCACGGCCUUCCCCCUGCCACAGACCACACUGGGCAACCACCACGAGGAGAAAACCUGGGGCCGGAGGUCAGCCGCCGGGGUGAUACGCCGAAAAGCAUGUCCCCAGUGUCCAGGCAGCACCUAGAGAGCCUGCGGUCACCCGUCCUGCCCUGGGAUGGACAGGCGGAUGAUAGGUUUCCUUCUUCUGAGCAUCCCACAAAGAGGCAGAAAUGAUGUGACCCUUCUUAAGACAGAAACAAACCCUGUGGUGCCGGAGGCAGCUGAUCAGCUCUGCCCUGGGGCUUCCCCACCUCCCUGAGGACUAGGUCCGGUCUGAAACUUUCGAGGACACAAUACUUGCAUUCCUGGAUGCUGCAGACGCAUGUGGCCCUGCUCCAAGUCUGAAUUUGCCAACACACAGCACUACUUCCUCAGCGCUGCUUGCACGCAGCCACCCUCAGCACCAAGACAACAAAAACACCUCAGAGCUGUGCACCAGUUCAGUCACCGCGAGGCAGAAAUCUCAUAUGAAGCCUUUUUACCAAAUCCUCAUGCUCCUCGUCAAAGUCAGCAAUCUUCUUGCGGUAGUAUUCCAGCAGCUCCCGGGAAGGGCGGAGGAAGGCCAGGCGCUCAUUGAUGGAUGGGAGAGGAGUAGAGUCCUCCUGGCUCUGAGGCUGAGAACUCGCAUGUCUGGAUGAGACAUGGGGGGUUGCCAG